rnacentral:rRNA from 1 species
CCCGNGGCCCCGGGGGNAAGGUCUGAACGCGAACCCAACGCCGCGUGAGUGAUGAAGGUUUUCGGAUCGUAAAGCUCUGUUGUUAGGGAAGAACAAGUGCGAGAGUAACUGCUCGCACCUUGACGGUACCUAACCAGAAAGCCACGGCUAACUACGUGCCAGCAGCCGCGGUAAUACGUAGGUGGCAAGCGUUGUCCGGAAUUAUUGGGCGUAAAGGGCUCGCAGGCGGUUUCUUAAGUCUGAUGUGAAAGCCCCCGGCUCAACCGGGGAGGGUCAUUGGAAACUGGGAAACUUGAGUGCAGAAAAGGAGAGUGGAAUUCCACGUGUAGCGGUGAAAUGCGUAGAGAUGUGGAGGAACACCAGUGGCGAAGGCGACUCUCUGGUCUGUAACUGACGCUAAGGAGCGAAAGCGUGGGGAGCGAACAGGAUUAGAUACCCCGGUAGUCA